rnacentral:tRNA from 1 species
UCGACGGGGAACAAAGCGCGGAGCGGUAGUUCAGUUGGUUAGAAUACCUGCCUGUCACGCAGGGGGUCGCGGGUUCG